rnacentral:sRNA from 1 species
AAACAGCUUUGGUGGAAAUGGCAUCCUUUUGUAACUGGCUUAACCGCAAAACAUAAAGUGUACAGCAGGACCUGAG